rnacentral:rRNA from 1 species
CGCUGGCGGCAUGCUUUACACAUGCAAGUCGAACGGCAGCGCGGGCUUCGGCCUGGCGGCGAGUGGCGAACGGGUGAGUAAUAUAUCGGAACGUACCCAAGAGUGGGGGAUAACGUAGCGAAAGUUACGCUAAUACCGCAUACGAUCUAAGGAUGAAAGCAGGGGAUCGCAAGACCUUGUGCUCCUGGAGCGGCCGAUAUCUGAUUAGCUAGUUGGUGGGGUAAAGGCCCACCAAGGCAACGAUCAGUAGCUGGUCUGAGAGGACGACCAGUCACACUGGAACUGAGACACGGUCCAGACUCCUACGGGAGGCAGCAGUGGGGAAUUUUGGACAAUGGGGGCAACCCUGAUCCAGCAAUGCCGCGUGAGUGAAGAAGGCCUUCGGGUUGUAAAGCUCUUUUGUCAGGGAAGAAAAGGCUGUGGCUAAUAUCCACAGCUGCUGACGGUACCUGAAGAAUAAGCACCGGCU